rfam:Trichobilharzia regenti genome assembly, scaffold: TRE_scaffold0021674
GCACUGAUGAACAGUCCCAAACUAGGGCGAAACAGCUGUCCAGUAC